GAUGAACGCUGGCGGCGUGCCUAAUACAUGCAAGUCGAGCGAAUGGAUUAAGAGCUUGCUCUUAUGAAGUUAGCGGCGGACGGGUGAGUAACACGUGGGUAACCUGCCCAUAAGACUGGGAUAACUCCGGGAAACCGGGGCUAAUACCGGAUAACAUUUUGAACCGCAUGGUUCGAGAUUGAAAGGCGGCUUCGGCUGUCACUUAUGGAUGGACCCGCGUCGCAUUAGCUAGUUGGUGAGGUAACGGCUCACCAAGGCAACGAUGCGUAGCCGGCCUGAGAGGGGGAUCGGCCACACUGGGACUGAGACACGGCCCAGACUCCUACGGGAGGCAGCAGUAGGGAAUCUUCCGCAAUGGACGAAAGUCUGACGGAGCAACGCCGCGUGAGUGAUGAAGGCUUUCGGGUCGUAAAACUCUGUUGUUAGGGAAGAACAAGUGCUAGUUGAAUAAGCUGGCGCCUUGACGGUACCUAACCAGAAAGCCACGGCUAACUACGUGCCAGCCGCCGCCGUAA
rnacentral:rRNA from 1 species